rfam:Canis lupus familiaris chromosome X, whole genome shotgun sequence.
AGGAGUGUCCUUGCUGUCCUGGGCCCUCCUGGCUUCCGCCUGUCCCGGGGGGAGCACCGGAUCUUGGGCUGUGUCCC